CUUGGUCAUUUAGAGGAAGUAAAAGUCGUAACAAGGUCUCCGUUGGUGAACCAGCGGAGGGAUCAUUACCGAGUUUACAACUCCCAAACCCCUGUGAACAUACCUAUACGUUGCCUCGGCGGAUCAGCCCGCGCCCUGUAAAAAGGGACGGCCCGCCCGAGGACCCUAAACUCUGUUUUUAGUGGAACUUCUGAGUAAAACAAACAAAUAAAUCAAAACUUUCAACAACGGAUCUCUUGGUUCUGGCAUCGAUGAAGAACGCAGCAAAAUGCGAUAAGUAAUGUGAAUUGCAGAAUUCAGUGAAUCAUCGAAUCUUUGAACGCACAUUGCGCCCGCCAGUAUUCUGGCGGGCAUGCCUGUUCGAGCGUCAUUUCAACCCUCAAGCUCAGCUUGGUGUUGGGACUCGCGGUAACCCGCGUUCCCCAAAUCGAUUGGCGGUCACGUCGAGCUUCCAUAGCGUAGUAAUCAUACACCUCGUUACUGGUAAUCGUCGCGGCCACGCCGUAAAACCCCAACUUCUGAAUGUUGACCUCGGAUCAGGUAGGAAUACCCGCUGAACUUAAGCAUAUCAAUAAGCGGAGGAAAAGAAACCAACAGGGAUUGCCCUAGUAACGGCGAGUGAAGCGGCAACAGCUCAAAUUUGAAAUCUGGCUCUCGGGCCCGAGUUGUAAUUUGUAGAGGAUGCUUUUGAUGCGGUGCCUUCCGAGUUCCCUGGAACGGGACGCCAUAGAGGGUGAGAGCCCCGUCUGGUUGGAUGCCAAAUCUCUGUAAAGCUCCUUCGACGAGUCGAGUUGUUUGGGAAU
rnacentral:sRNA from 1 species